AGUGAACGCUGGCGGUAGGCCUAACACAUGCAAGUCGAACGGCAGCACAGGAGAGCUUGCUCUCUGGGUGGCGAGUGGCGGACGGGUGAGGAAUACAUCGGAAUCUACUUUUUCGUGGGGGAUAACGUAGGGAAACUUACGCUAAUACCGCAUACGACCUACGGGUGAAAGCAGGGGACCUUCGGGCCUUGCGCGAUUGAAUGAGCCGAUGUCGGAUUAGCUAGUUGGCGGGGUAAAGGCACACCAAGGCGACGAUCCGUAGCUGGUCUGGCAGGAUGAUCAGCCACACUGGAACUGAGAAACGGACCAGACUCCUACGGGAGGCAGCAGUGGGGAAUAUUGGACAAGGGGCGCAAGCCUGAUCCAGCCAUACCGCGUGGGUGAAGAAGGCCUUCGGGUUGUAAAGCCCUUUUGUUGGGAAAGAAAUCCAGCUGGCUAAUACCCGGUUGGGAUGACGGUACCCAAAGAAUAAGCACUGGCUAACUUCGUGCCAGCCGCCGCCGUAA
rnacentral:rRNA from 1 species